AGAGUUUGAUCAUGGCUCAGAUUGAACGCUGGCGGCAUGCUUUACACAUGCAAGUCGAACGCGAAAGCGGGGGCAACCCGCGAGUAGAGUGGCGAACGGGUGAGUAAUACAUCGGAACGCGCCCUUUAGUGGGGGGACAACGCCGAGAAAUCGGCGCUAAUACCGCAUACGCCCGAAAGGGGAAAGCGGGGGACCGCAAGGCCUCGCGCUGUUGGAGCGGCCGAUGCCCGAUUAGCUAGUUGGUGGGGUAAUGGCCCACCAAGGCUACGAUCGGUAGCUGGUCUGAGAGGAUGAUCAGCCACACUGGGACUGAGACACGGCCCAGACUCCUACGGGAGGCAGCAGUGGGGAAUUUUGGACAAUGGGGGCAACCCUGAUCCAGCCAUGCCGCGUGAGUGAAGAAGGCCUUCGGGUUGUAAAGCUCUUUCGGCCGGAACGAAAUCGCGCGGGCGAACAAUCCGCGUGGAUGACGGUACCGGAAUAAGAAGCACCGGCUAACUACGUGCCAGCAGCCGCGGUAAUACGUAGGGUGCAAGCGUUAAUCGGAAUUACUGGGCGUAAAGCGUGCGCAGGCGGUCGCGUAAGCCAGAUGUGAAAGCCCCGGGCUUAACCUGGGAAUUGCAUUUGGUACUGCGUGGCUAGAGUGCGGCAGAGGGAGGUGGAAUUCCUGGUGUAGCAGUGAAAUGCGUAGAGAUCAGGAGGAACACCGAUGGCGAAGGCAGCCUCCUGGGCCAGCACUGACGCUCAUGCACGAAAGCGUGGGGAGCAAACAGGAUUAGAUACCCCAGUAGUCC
rnacentral:rRNA from 1 species